UACGAAGGGUGCAAGCGUUACUCGGAAUUACUGGGCGUAAAGCGUGCGUAGGUGGUUUGUUAAGUCUGUUGUGAAAGCCCCGGGCUCAACCUGGGAAUGGCAAUGGAUACUGGCAAGCUAGAGUGCGGUAGAGGGUAGUGGAAUUCCCGGUGUAGCGGUGAGAUGCGUAGAGAUCGGGAGGAACACCAGUGGCGAAGGCGGCUACCUGGACCAGCACUGACACUGAGGCACGAAAGCGUGGGGAGCAAACAGG
rnacentral:rRNA from 1 species